GUACAAAAGCAAAAGCUGAUUGAGCGAGAGAAAGAGUUGGAGAAUCUGGAGGCUUACAAUGAAAGACAAAAGCUUGAGCUAGAGAAGCAAAUGAAUGCAAAAGCCACCUUGGAGCAAAAGAAAGCUGAUGAAAAUCUUUUGAAGUUGGCUGAAGAGCAGAAGAGAGAAAAAGAAAAACUGCACUUGCAAAUUAUUGA